GUCCCUUUAGCGCUAUGGAUAGCGCAUUGAAUUUCUUAUCUAAAGGUUGUGGGUUUGAAUCCCACAUGGGAUG